UUCAGCAGUGGGUAAUGACCUAGGUUGCAUUAUACCUAGGCAAGUGUUACAUUGCUGGGAGAAAAGCAGGUAACACCUGGCGGGCAUCCUGGGCCUGGUUAAUGCCAAAUCUGUGUUAAACAUA
rnacentral:snoRNA from 1 species